rnacentral:rRNA from 1 species
UUGGACCUGAUAUCAGACAAGAUUACCCGCUGAACUUAAGCAUAUCAAUAAGCGGAGGAAAAGAAACUAACAAGGAUUCCCCUAGUAACGGCGAGUGAAGCGGGAAGAGCUCAAGCUUAAAAUCUCUGCGCAAGUUUUGCGCGGCGAAUUGUAGUCUAUAGACGCUAAAUCAGUGCGGCUAUUCGGGUUAAGUUCCUUGGAAGAGGACAGCAAUGAGGGUGAUACUCCCGUUUGUACCUGAGUAUGUUGCACGUACGAUUUGUGUUCUUUGAGUCGCGUUGUUUGGGAAUGCAGCGCAAAGUAGGUGGUAAAUUCCAUCUAAAGCUAAAUAUUGGUGCGAGACCGAUAGCGAACAAGUACCGUGAGGGAAAGAUGAAAAGAACUUUGAAAAGAGAGUUAAAGAGUACCUGAAACUGCUGAAAGGGAACCGGGUCGUUGCCAGUGUCUAUAAUCCUCGGCAUAUUUCAUUGCUGUGCGGGGCUGUGUCGCGCGUUGGUAGUAGUUUGUUCUGCGCUGCGUGUGUCGUUCGGCUUUGCUCGGCGGUGCCCUGUGUCGUGGUGGGACGUCAGAGUCAGUUCGUGUGCUGCGGGAAAUGGCUGUCGAGGAGGUAGGUCAGGAGCUUGCUUCUGGCUGUUAUAUCUUGGCGUGCUAGUUGUCGUGGUUGGGACUGAGGUGCCUACAACGUGCUUUUUGAGUGUUUGUGCGUCUCUGUGUGCGUCCGGGAUUGGAUAGCUUGCUAUGCAGUUUGUCACGUGUGCGGAUGGAUGUGUAUUCUUACUUGUUGCCGUUCGGGACUUUGACGAAAUGGCGCGAUCCGACCCGUCUUGAAACACGGACCAAGGAGUCUAACAUGUGUGCAAGUGUUAGGGUGUGGAAACCCAAGCGCGAAAUGAAAGUAAAGGACAGCGUUUUGUUGUCUGAGGUAGGAAACCUUUGCUUGUCAGGGGUGGCACUAUCGACCGAUCAUGAACCCUCGUGGUGAAAGAUUUGAGUAUGAGCACAUAUGUUGGUACCCGAAAGAUGGUGAACUAUGCCUGAGUAGGGUGAAGCCAGGGGAAACUCUGGUGGAAGCUCGUAGCGAUUCUGACGUGCAAAUCGAUCGUCAAACUUGGGUAUAGGGGCGAAAGACUAAUCGAACCAUCUAGUAGCUGGUUCCCUCCGAAAUUUCCCUCAGGAUAGCAGCAACUUAUUUACGAUAGUUUUAUGAGGUAAAGCGAAUGAUUAGAGGACUCGGGGAAGAAACUUCCUUGACCUAUUCUCAAACUUUAAAUCUGUAAGACCUGCAGGUUUCUUAAUUGAACUUGCGGAUGUGAAUAUCAAGUUGCUAGUGGGCCAUACGGGGUAAGCUCGUCUGGGCGAUGCGGGAUGAUCCGAACGCAAAGUUAAAGUGCCAAAAUACCCGCUCACCUAGAUACCAUAAAAGGUGUUGGUUCAUUUAGACAGCAGGACGGUGGCCAUGGAAGUCGGAAUCCGCUAAGGAGUGUGUAACAAC